rnacentral:rRNA from 1 species
GAUGAACGCUGACAGCAUGCUUAACACAUGCAAGUCUUUGGCGAAGCUGUGCUUGCACCGCCUAGCCAAGGCGGACGGGUGAGUAACGCGUAAGGAACUUGCCCUGCAGUCAGGGAUAACAGACGGAAACGACUGAUAAGACCUGGUAAAGUCAGGCGGACUCAUGUCCAGCCUGAUGAAAAGAGAUGCUGCAGGAGAGCCUUGCGUCCUAUUAGCUUGUUGGUGGGGUAACGGCCCACCAAGGCGAUGAUAGGUAGCCGGCCUGAGAGGGUGGACGGCCACAAGGGGACUGAGAUACGGCCCUUACGCCUACGGGAGGCAGCAGGGGGGAAUAUUGGACAAUGGGGGCAACCGUGAUCCAGCAAUUCUGUGUGCACGAUGAAGGUUUUCGGAUUGUAAAGUGCUUUCAGCAGGGAAGAAAAAAAUGACGGUACCUGCAGAAGAAGCGACGGCUAAAUACGUG